rnacentral:rRNA from 1 species
GUGCCAGCAGCCGCGGUAAUACGUAGGGAGCAAGCGUUAUCCGGAAUUAUUGGGCGUAAAGGGCGCGUAGGCGGGAAUGCAAGUCAGGUGUGAAAACUGCGGGCUCAACUUGGAGAUUGCAUUUGAAACUGUGUUUCUUGAGGGCAGGAGAGGAAAGUGGAAUUCCUAGUGUAGCGGUGAAAUGCGUAGAUAUUAGGAGGAACACCAGUGGCGAAGGCGACUUUCUGGACUGUACCUGACGCUGAGGCGCGAAAGCGUGGGUAGCAAACGGGAUUAGAUACCCCGGUAGUCCACGCUGUAAACGAUGAAUACUAGGUGUAGGAGGUAUCGACCCCUUCUGUGCCGCAGCUAACGCAAUAAGUAUUCCGCCUGGGGAGUACGAUCGCAAGAUUAAAACUCAAAGGAAUUGACGGGGACCCGCACAAGCGGUGGAGCAUGUGGUUUAAUUCGACGCAACGCGAAGAACCUUACCAGGGCUUGACAUCCCUCGCUAUCCUGUGAAAGCAGGAGUUUCCUCCUUCGGGAGGGACGGGGAGACAGGUGGUGCAUGGUUGUCGUCAGCUCGUGUCGUGAGAUGUUGGGUUAAGUCCCGCAACGAGCGCAACCCCUAUUUUCAGUUGCCAGCACGUAAUGGUGGGAACUCUGAAGAAACUGCCGGUGACAAACCGGAGGAAGGUGGGGAUGACGUCAAAUCAUCAUGCCCUUUAUGUCCUGGGCUACACACGUGCUACAAUGGUCGGUACAGAGGGUCGCUAAGCCGUGAGGUGGAGCCAAUCCCAAAAAGCCGGUCUCAGUUCGGAUUGUAGGCUGCAACCCGCCUACAUGAAGUCGGAAUCGCUAGUAAUCGCGAGUCAGCAUAUCGCGGUGAAUACGUUCCCGGGUCUUGUACACACCGCCCGUCACACCACGAAAGUUGGCAACACCCGAAGUCCAUGAGCUAACCGCAAGGAGGCAGUGGCCUAAGGUGGGGUCGAUAAUUGGGGUGAAGUCGUAACAAGGUAACC